UACGAAGGGUGCAAGCGUUACUCGGAAUUACUGGGCGUAAAGCGCACGCAGGUGGCUGAGUCAGUCGAUUGUGAAAGCCCUGGGCUUAACCUGGGAAUUGCAGUCGAUACUACUCAGCUAGAGUAUGGGAGAGGGCAGUGGAAUUCCCGGUGUAGCGGUGAAAUGCGUAGAUAUCGGGAGGAACAUCAGUGGCGAAGGCGGCUGCCUGGCCCAAUACUGACACUCAGGUGCGACAGCGUGGGGAGCAACAGGAUUAGAAACCCUGAGUACAGUACCGUAGC
rnacentral:rRNA from 1 species